UCUUGAUGUAACAUCAAUUUCCAAGAUGGAUUUCACAUCACUGAUCAGGAUGGUGAGCUACAUUUGUGCGGCAAUUAUCGCAUUUGCCGCAACAUUUGGAAAAGCUGAAAACUGCUACCAGUGUACUCAUCCAAUUACAUUUGAAAUAAUGACUGGGUUGAAGGAGGCGUGCUCAGAUAAAUAUGACUCAGCAGACUACUCUAAGAACCCUGUAUACUGUGCUAAUGGAUGUAGAGUAACGAGAACGUUUGAUGCCGGACUGAUGAAAGCUACUAUCCAGCGGGGGUGUGCCACACCGAAACAAUCGAAAUAUUUCACGAUUGAAGGGAAAGCUUUGAUUUUGAACAUUAGCUGCUCCGGAAAUUAUUGUAACAAACAGAAAUAUGAACUGGUUAUAUUAAUAAGCUUAGUCGUAAUAUGUCUUACCUCUGUUUUACAAUUCGUGUAUAGUAUUUUCCUAAAGGUUUUACAUUUAGUAUUGUUCUUACUGGUUAGUUUGCUUGUUAUUUUUUCCUUAUUUUACUAUUUUGCCUGACAAAAUAAUACUAACCCUAUUAAAAGGAGAU